rnacentral:rRNA from 1 species
GAUGAACGCCGGCGGCGUGCCUAAUACAUGCAAGUCGAGCGAACAGGCGAGGAGCUUGCUCCUCUGACGUUAGCGGCGGACGGGUGAGUAACACGUGGAUAACCUACCUAUAAGACUGGGAUAACUUCGGGAAACCGGAGCUAAUACCGGAUAAUAUAUUGAACCGCAUGGUUCAAUAGUGAAAGACGGUUUUGCUGUCACUUAUAGAUGGAUCCGCGCCGCAUUAGCUAGUUGGUAAGGUAACGGCUUACCAAGGCAACGAUGCGUAGCCGACCUGAGAGGGUGAUCGGCCACACUGGAACUGAGACACGGUCCAGACUCCUACGGGAGGCAGCAGUAGGGAAUCUUCCGCAAUGGGCGAAAGCCUGACGGAGCAACGCCGCGUGAGUGAUGAAGGUCUUCGGAUCGUAAAACUCUGUUAUUAGGGAAGAACAAAUGUGUAAGUAACUAUGCACGUCUUGACGGUACCUAAUCAGAAAGCCACGGCUAACUACGUG